GACGAACGCUGGCGGCGUGCUUAACACAUGCAAGUCGAACGGAAAGGCCCUGCUUUUGUGGGGUGCUCGAGUGGCGAACGGGUGAGUAACACGUGAGUAACCUGCCCUUGACUUUGGGAUAACUUCAGGAAACUGGGGCUAAUACCGGAUAGGAGCUCCUGCUGCAUGGUGGGGGUUGGAAAGUUUCGGCGGUUGGGGAUGGACUCGCGGCUUAUCAGCUUGUUGGUGGGGGAGUGGCUUACCAAGGCUUUGACGGGUAGCCGGCCUGAGAGGGUGACCGGCCACAUUGGGACUGAGAUGCCGCCCAGACUCCUACGGGAGGCAGCAGUGGGGAAUAUUGCACAAUGGGCGGAAGCCUGAUGCAGCAGCGCCGCGUGCGGGAUGACGGCCUUCGGGUUGUAAACCGCUUUCGCCUGUGACGAAGCGUGAGUGACGGUAAUGGGUAAAGAAGCACCGGCUAACUACGUG
rnacentral:rRNA from 1 species